UCAGAGUCAAGUGCAAGGGAAGGAAGCCAAGACAGCUGUCAGGUUCAGUACCUCGCUUUGGCACAGCGGCAGGGGAGAGAGUCAGGUUUUGUUUUUAAGUUAGUGCGGUAUUUUCAAAACGUGAACACCUCGUAAAAAACCAAAUCACACGCCGAGGCUGGUACGCUCUGCGGAAGGAGCUGGUCUCCUCCACUUGUGAAUCCAUUCUUCCAGCGCUAAUGAAAUAGAAUGGGGCGCUGGGAUUUAUAAGCAACAUAUAUUUGGUUGUCACACGGUUCCUAAAAAAACCCUUGUUAAUUUGUUUUCCAGGAGCUACAGGGACAUCACUUUGUUAUCACGUUUCGUGUUGUUCCCAGUUCCUGAAAUAGCUCCAGAUAGCAAAGGUUGAAAUGGGCGUUUUUGGGAUUCGAACGAACCAGUUUGUGCUAAAGGCUGAGCGGUGGCUGGGGCUCCUGGGUGGCCUGGAGGGGGCUGGUUGCGGGAGGAACCACUCAGCGAUCCCAGCGUUGGCCCUUUCAGCCCCGCCCACACUCUCCGGGGAGGAGGUGGGGCUAAAGGGUGGAAUCAAUUCACCCAUCGGUGGUCCACAGUUUAAUCAGUCGGUACCAUGUGAGGAAACCUUCAUACAUCCUGAACUAUGGGAUACGAACUACAGAAUUCGGAGAGCUCCCGGGCUGGUGAACACACUGAGGCGGGGAGGCCGGUGCACCCGGGGAGGGCACGGCCGCCCCCACCCCUUCCCUGCACACAUUGCCUUAUGCCUCUCUUUCGCUGGCUGACCUGGUGGCAGCCCCCGUGAUGAAUCGGUAACGUAGCAGCGAAACUGUUUUCCUGAGUUCCGUGAGCCACUCCGGGAAAUUAAUCAAGCCCUCGGAGGGGUCUGAGAGGUGGUGGGAACCUCCACUUACAGCAGAAAUACAUAACGUGAACCUGACACACGGGCCCCUUCCAGUUCGGGACACUAUCUCCCUUUUCUCUCCGGCUCCCUUCCACACCUCACGGCCUGUGGCGGCAACAUCCGUGUGGACAAGCUGAUGCGCGGCCCUCCACGUUUCCGGGCUCGCCCACGCUCACGGAGGCAGCCUGACACAGAGACGUGCAGCUAAUGACGACACUGACCUCAGGAGGGUGCUGGGGGAACGAAGCACAGGAACACCCCCACUCAAAAGGCGCACAAACUGAGGCUCAAAGAGUUGCAGAGUUCCUCAAUGUCAUACAGCUCCAAGUG